UCUCUCUCUCUCUCUCUCUCUCUCUCUCUCUCUCUGAGGUAUGCGGGACGAAUCCUGUGAGAUCUGCACGCAGACUCUGAGAAACUGCUGUUGCAUUGACGCCCACCGUGUCGACAUUUAUGAAAAAUCACAUGAUUUGGGAUUUCUCAAGACCCUGCAGUUCUCAUGUGAUCUGAAGGGUCUCGUCUGUCAUUUGUUGGUGUCGUACAGACAGACAUCAAAGCCUGAGUUUUAUUCAGAGGCUGAUAGUGAAUCUACGAGGGCAAUAAAUCUAACGAGGCGGGCCUGCAAUUGAGGAAGCUAAACAGAGGGCCGUUUACUGCUUGAAGGGUCCAUCUCUGCAGAAGGUCAAGCACUCUUUCACUUAUCCUGUUCGUAUUUAGGAGGCAAAUUUACAGUUUUACACACCUGGCCUCCACAGCUCUCAGCACAUCAAACGUUUCCAGCAUUCGAGCCCUGAGGGAAGCGUUGCGUACGGCCCACAGACACGCAGACCUAUGCUUUACUCUUUCAUUUCCCAAACGAUCGCUCAUAAAACGGCUGAUCUAAAAGCUCACGCUCGUUUGCAAAGUGUACAUCCCUUCACCUUAAAUACAUAAUGAGGUUUUAUGGGAGCGUGUUAUCUAAGUGUUGUCUGUUUCUGUACAGGAAGACCAUCAAAUGCAAACGUGUUUCUGUGAUCCUGUGGAGCUUCUACAUGUGAAUAUUAAAAUGGUUUAUUAUACAAAAUGAAAAAGUUUCAUCCUCCUUCAGUGCAGCCAAUAUUGCACUGCAUAAAACAUAUUUAGCAUCCAUCAUGUGCAGGUCAUAAAUGUCGUCUGGGAGGUGUUUUCUUUUUCUUGUAUAGGUUUGUUCAUGAGCUGACAUCUGCCAAAUCACUCUUGAAUAUUGCAGAGUUUGAUUGGAUUUCACUGAUUUCGACAAUGUGAAAUUUAUUAUCAGGAACAAAUGUUUUCUCCUUUGUGUUAAAAGUUGAACUGUUCAUUUUUCUGUCCUAAUUAUGCAUGAUCAUACAGAUGAAUUGCUUCAUUGUACUUUUAAUUUGUAAGCCAAAAAUGUCUGAUGGGUCUUUGACGAUGCUUCUCUUAAUGAGUUUCUCACCUCACCGAAAUCUCCCAGAAGUCCCAGAAUCUCACAGUGAGCUGGAGACUGACUGUGUUCACUGGACUGCUGUAAAGAACUGCUGGUUCCCGCUCACUACGUGUUUACAGUCCCAGCGCUCAUUUGAGUUUAUUGCUGAAAUGAUAGAGUGCGAAACACAUCAAAGCCAUUCUGAAGGAGAGAGAGAGAGACAUUGAGCUCAUGAUGUCUGUGAACUUUAGACGACUCUCUCGGACGUAUCUGCAGCUCUCCUGUGGCUUUAAUUGCACCUGAAACGGCUGUCAUAACCCAAACCAACAUGCAAUCCUGCACUGCGUCACGUCCACGUCUGUUUACUCUGGGCUUAUGGAGAAUAACUCUGCCAUAUAAUAUCAAUAAACAUGGGAACUGUACGUGAGACUGAUGAAAGUCUGUGCUUUAUCAACAGCGCUUGGCUCUCACCUGCUCUCCGGGUUUAAGCUGCGGUUGUGUUGCUCAAGUCUUUGGAUGGACACAGAGGAGAAGAAAAAAUGAAAAAUCAGCAGUAAAGGGUUGACGGCUGAUGGUGUUGCGCUGCUGUAGUUUCUGUUCUGACAUCAUCAUCAUCAUCCUCAUCAUCUUCAGUCUGUGAGUCUGUGGUGACCCGUAGAUUUGUUUGAUCUGACCUUGGCGCACAGGGUUGGUCUGACCAGUCCAACUCAGUAGCGCCACCAACUGUUCAAAGUGUAUUAUUUGUUCUAGAGGUUUUAUUUUCUGAUUUCUCAUCUCAUUCAAGUUCACUCAAGUUGCUGGUUUGAAUCUCCAUCCAAAAUCUUAGCUAUUAAUGGUUUCCUUAACACUACUUAACCUAGAAAAGUCACUGACUUGAGAUUAUCAACAGAUUACUAAUGUAUCAAUUUUUUUUUCUUUUUAGAGUUUUCGAAGUAAGCAAAAAAAAAAGUGAAAAUUACACACACACACACACACACACACACACACACACACACACACACAUAGAGAGAGAGCGAAUAACUACAAAUAUUUAAAAAAUAACUAUAGUCUAUAGUCUAGUGUGAGUUUUUCAGGAACACUGUAGAAUACUGUUCCGUCAUUAAUGAAUAAUGUGUAACACAAUAUUAGCGCUCUAGUAACAACUAGUAACUAACAAGAAACUCUGAUUAAUGAAUUAGUAAGUAAUAGUGCUUAAUUUAAUGUGGUAGAUCACUAUUAGUUAAUCAGGAGCUACUUUUAUACCUUUUAUUUUUCCAUACCUCCCUAAGAAACACUAAGAACUACUAUAAACAGGUUCAUAAUUAAAAUGAAUAAUGCAACAUGUAUAAUUAAUUCUAAACUAAAAGUCAUGGUAACCUAUUAGUGACUCAAGUAUUACCAAAUUCUU